rnacentral:rRNA from 1 species
GACGAACGCUGGCGGCGUGCUUAACACAUGCAAGUCGAGCGGAGCGGCGAACGGGUGAGUAACGCGUGAGUAACUGCCCCCCUCUCUGGGAUAACAGUUGGAAACGGCUGCUAAUACCGGCUAGAGGGGGAUGACUCGCGUCCUAUCAGCUUUUGGGUGGGGUAGUGGCCUACCAAGGCGACGCCGGGUAGCCGGCCUGAGAGGGCGACAGGCCACAUUGGGCGUGGAGAGGGCCCAAAAGCGUACGGGAGGCAGCAGUGGGGAAUAUUGCACGAGGGGGGAAACCCGGAGGCAGCAACGCGCGUGCGGGAGGACGGCCUUCGGGUUGUAAACCGCGUUCAGCCAUGACGCGGUAGUGGCAGAAGAAGCACCGGCUAACUACGUGCCAGCAGCCGCGGUAAUAC